rnacentral:tRNA from 1 species
GGCGCGCGGGGUCGCACGGUGUGCGGGGCCGGCGUCCUGCCGUGGCACCGGAUCGGGGGUGCCGUGGUUUGUUCAAGACCAGCGCGUGUUG